rnacentral:rRNA from 1 species
AGAGUUUGAUUCUGGCUCAGAUUGAACGCUGGCGGAAUGCUUUACACAUGCAAGUCGAACGGCAGCACGGGAGCUUGCUCCUGGUGGCGAGUGGCGAACGGGUGAGUAAUGCGUCGGAACGUACCGAGUAAUGGGGGAUAACGCAGCGAAAGCUGUGCUAAUACCGCAUACGCCCUGAGGGGGAAAGUGGGGGAUCGCAAGACCUCACGUUAUUCGAGCGGCCGACGUCUGAUUAGCUAGUUGGUGGGGUAAUGGCCUACCAAGGCGACGAUCAGUAGCGGGUCUGAGAGGAUGAUCCGCCACACUGGGACUGAGACACGGCCCAGACUCCUACGGGAGGCAGCAGUGGGGAAUUUUGGACAAUGGGGGCAACCCUGAUCCAGCCAUUCCGCGUGAGUGAAGAAGGCCUUCGGGUUGUAAAGCUCUUUCAGCUGGAACGAAACGGUACAGGUUAAUACCCUGUGCUAAUGACGGUACCGGCAGAAGAAGCACCGGCUAACUACGUGCCAGCAGCCGCGGUAAUACGUAGGGUGCGAGCGUUAAUCGGAAUUACUGGGCGUAAAGCGUGCGCAGGCGGAUUGUUAAGCAAGAUGUGAAAUCCCCGGGCUUAACCUGGGAAUGGCAUUUUGAACUGGCG